GGACUACCAGGGUAUCUAAUCCUGUUUGCUCCCCUAGCUUUCGUCCCUCAGCGUCAGAAAUGAUCCAGCGAGCCGCCUUCGCCUCGGAUGUUCCUGCGGAUAUCUACGCAUUUCACCGCUACACCCGCAAUUCCACUCGCCUCUCUCAUCCUCUAGCACGGCAGUUUCGGGAGCAGCCUCUGAGUUAAGCCCAGAGAUUUCACUUCCGACUUGCCACACCGCCUACGGACCCUUUACGCCCAGUAAUUCCGAGCAACGCUGGCCCCCUACGUUUUACCGCGGCUGCUGGCAC
rnacentral:rRNA from 1 species